AACGAACGCUGGCGGCGUGCCUAACACAUGCAAGUCGUGCGAGAAAGUGGGGGCAACUCCACGAGUAAAGCGGCGCACGGGUGAGUAACACGUGGGUAACCUGCCUUCGAGAUCGGGAUAACCUUCCGAAAGGAGGGCUAAUACCGGAUAAGACCACGGAGCGCCGGCUCCGGGGUUAAAGGUGGCCUCUGCUUGCAAGCUACCACUCGGAGAUGGGCCCGCGCACCAUUAGCUAGUUGGCGAGGUAACGGCUCACCAAGGCGAAGAUGGUUAGCUG
rnacentral:rRNA from 1 species